CCCAAGCAAUAGAGCAAGACCUGUCUCAAACAAAUAAACACACAUGCAUACAUACAUACAUACAUACAUACAUUAGAUUAAAUCUUGUCACACUUUCAAAGUUUUUCCUGGCUAUUUUUAUUUUUAUUUCAGAAUAACUUUUAAAAAAUAUGUAAAAUUCUAGAAAAAAUUCUAUUGGUAUUUUGUUUGUAAUGAUGUUGAGUAUAUACACAAUAGGGGUUGAAUGGACACCUGACAAUGUUAACUUUUUUAGAUGGUUUAGUACAAAAAACUAAGGACCUACUGUGUGUAAGAUGUUUAGACACUGGAGAUACAGCAUUAAAAAGAUAAGGACCACCAUCCUUUAUCUCGACAAACUUUUAUAAUUGCGAAGGAUUAAAAGUAAAUUUUUUCAGAUUCACAUUUUAGAAUUAUUGCACCGAAAGCAAUGAAGAGAGGAUUUGAGCAGAGACGUACUGGAAGGAGAGAAAACAGUCAGAGGCUGCAUACGUUCUGAAGGCCAGGUCAGAAGUGAACUGGGGGUGGAUCUCAAAGGUUAUUUAGAAGUGAAGUUGACAGGAUAUUAGGAUGCAUUGUGGCCAGAGAGAAGUCUAAGGAUGAUUGUGGUAUUUUGGCUUGGUCAGCUCAGUGGAAAAUAUUGCCAUGCUCAGAGAUUGAAAUACAGGAGGAGCCACGCAUUUCCAAAGGGCUAUGUUAGGUUUGGUUCUACAUGUAGCUAUUAAUGGGAUAUCCAGCCAGAAAUGUUAAGAAAGCAGUGAGACCACUUGGUCUGGCCCUCAGGAAAGUAUUCUUCCUUGGAGAUACAGACACCUGGCAGAAUUUGUUGCAUGAGAUGGGAAGGCCUGUGUCAGAGGCCAGACUGGUUGAAGCCAGUUCAGAAGAUGAAGAGGUAAGGAAGUGUCAGGGUCCAAGAGAAUUCAAAGGGUGCCCAGAGGACAGGUAAGGUAAAGACUGAAAGAUAUCUUUUGGGUUAACCACGAAAGAGUCGGUCUUUUUGCUGGGGUGGUUUAGGUGGAACAGUGGUGAUAGAAGCCCCAUUGCAGUGGGAAUGAGGUUGAAAUAUGAGAAAGUGAUUUCAUUAUUAUCAUCAAUUAUGUUAUUUCUAUCACUGAAGAAACUUUGGAAUUCCUUCUAAAGAGAAUAAGGAGGCUAGGUCCCAGUUGUUUUGCUGUACCUUCAAAUCUAUGUUUUUUAGAUAGAAAAUUUCUUAUUUAUCCACUGUUUACUCAUACUAAGUACUUGGCAAUGUGAUAAGUUCUGGGACUGAGUUGAUAUGAUAGGAAUUGAUAUGCCCCCAUGUCCUUGCAGGACUUGACUCUCUGGCAGGAGAUGUUAGACAAAUAACUAUACAAUUAUAUAUAGCAGUUGUGGUAAGCUCUAUAAAGACAGAUUAGAUGGUACAAUAUUGCUUAUAAUACAGUGGAUAGGAUAGAGGAGAGAUCAAGGACGCCUUCCUUGAGUAAGUGAAUUUGAUCUGAGAUGGAUUUUCUAGGAAGAGGGAAAGGCCCUGAGGUGAAAUGAAGUUUGCAGCUGAUUAAACCAAUGAGGCAUGAGAUGAGAUCAGAGAGGCCCAGACUAAAUCUGUCUAGGUUGUUGGUCAUUUGAAGGGUUUUGGAUUUUGUUCUAAGAGUUACGAUAAACCACUGUAACACUUUUAAAUAAGGGGAUGACUCGAUUGGAUCAUUAGAAUGUAAAGUUCUUGAGUGUAGUGAUUUUUU